CGUAACAAGGUUUCCGUAGGUGAACCUGCGGAAGGAUCAUUGUCGAGCCCGAAAAAAACAAUCGACCGCGAACUCGUUAUCGAUGCUCAUGAGGUGCGCACGGCGGGCAUGCCCUGUUGUCGCCCCUCCCGUCCGUUGGGCGCCGCGUGCUCCCGACGGGCAAAAAAUGUACCCACGGCGCGGCAAGCGCCAAGGAAGACCAUGUGGGUCGUCCGAUCCCGUGACGCCCCGUUUGCGGUGCGCGUUAUGGGACCUGGCACCCGAUUGUAUGAUGGUGUUAAUGCCAUCGCAACAUAACGACUCUCGACAACGGAUAUCUCGGCUCUCGCAUCGAUGAAGAACGUAGCGAAAUGCGAUACUUGGUGUGAAUUGCAGAAUCCCGUGAACCAUCGAGUCUUUGAACGCAAGUUGCGCCCGAAGCAAUCAUGCCGAGGGCACGUCUGCCUGGGCGUCACACAUCGCGUCGCCCCGCCCACCCCCGUCCAUCGCGUCGGGUUGAUUGGAACGGUGCGUAGUCUGGCCUCCCGUGUCGCUCAUGCGUGCGGCUUGCCCAAACGUCAUCCCCUUAGGGCGUCCGAGCGACGCACGCAAUGCUGGUCAAACGAUCGCUCCAUUCGCGUGCUCGUCGUCGUUCUGUUGGAAGGGGAGUCGAAAUGACCCUUUGGAUGAUAGCUUCGAGCUGUCUCCGACCGCGACCCCAGGUCAGGCGGGAUCACCCGCUGAGUUUAAGCAUAUCAAUA
rnacentral:rRNA from 1 species